CCAGACUCCUACGGGAGGCAGCAGUGGGGGAUAUUGCACAAUGGGGGAAACCCUGAUGCAGCGACGCCGCGUGGGUGAAGAAGCGCCCCGGCGCGUAAAGCCCUGUCAGCAGGGAAGAAAAUGACGGUACCUGAAGAAGAAGCCCCGGCUAACUACGUGCCAGCAGCCGCGGUAAUACGUAGGGGGCAAGCGUUAUCCGGAUUUACUGGGUGUAAAGGGGGCGCAGACGGCGAUGCAAGCCAGGAGUGAAGGCCCGGGGCCCAACCCCGGGACUGCUCUUGGAACUGCGUGGCUGGAGUGCAGGAGGGGCAGGCGGAAUUCCUGGUGUAGCGGUGAAAUGCGUAGAUAUCAGGAGGAACACCGGUGGCGAAGGCGGCCUGCUGGACUGCAACUGACGUUGAGGCCCGAAAGCGUGGGGAGCAAACAGGAUUAGAUACCCGCGUACC
rnacentral:rRNA from 1 species